UACGGAGGAUCCAAGCGUUAUCCGGAAUCAUUGGGUUUAAAGGGUCCGUAGGCGGUUUAAUAAGUCAGUGGUGAAAGCCCAUCGCUCAACGGGGGAAACGGCCAUUGAUACUGUAGGACUUGAAUUAUUAGGAAGUAACUAGAAUAUGUAGUGUAGCGGUGAAAUGCUUAGAGAUUACAUGGAAUACCAAUUGCGAAGGCAGGUUACUACUAAUGGAUUGACGCUGAUGGACGAAAGCGUGGGUAGCGAACAGG
rnacentral:rRNA from 1 species